UGGCUCAAUUGGUAGAGCAUGGUGUGUGCAACGCCAGGGUUGUGGGUUCGAUUCCCAC
rnacentral:tRNA from 1 species